GGGGAAGUUAUUUGAUUUAUUUGCUGUGCUACUAGGUUAUUCAGGAACUAUUUUUCAGAUAAAAGAGCAGGACCAAGAGACUUUCAGACAAAGGAGGUUGUCAGGUUGAUUCAGGUGUGUGCGAUUGGGUCUGUAGCAGCUUCCUAAACUAUGAUUGAUCAGAAAGAACUUCCAAAAAAUGGCUAUUAGUUGGUUUUCUCGUGUAUAAGUUGUAAUGCAUCUUUUGAGAUAUGGGUCCUUUUAUUAUGACACCCUUUUGAUGUACCUGCCUGGAUUUUUUAAUAUA
rnacentral:lncRNA from 1 species